rnacentral:lncRNA from 1 species
UCAGAUUUCAGUUGUGCUAACUUGAAGGCAAAAUACAUAAAGUCCACAAAAUAAAAAGUUGCAAGUUCUUCAUGUUCAAAGGACCAUUUGCUGAAUUGUUAGCGUGCAACAACAACCAAAAGAUCGUACUUCAGACUAUUAAGCUCGUGGCCUCACCAAACAUGGCGAAGAAACAAUUGUUAUUUGAAAUUAAGUACAGCGGACUCAUAUUCCAUAAUUGUAUUGUCACUAUAUAAAUUAAGGUGUACACAGAAACUUCACAAAGAAAAAGCCUAUGAAUUAGGGAAUGAUAUUUACACGUCUUGACCAAGUCAUCUGCAAUAUAAUUGUAAAACAGAAACCUAUUAAAUGGAUUUGACGAGCUGCCGGAGGCUAUUAUCAUGAUGUAUCUACAAUAAAUGCAGUUGACAUGUCAAUGGGGAAUCUUACACUUGUUGGGUCUCAAUGUCUUU